rnacentral:rRNA from 1 species
AGGAGUUUGAUCCUGGCUCAGAUUGAACGCUGGCGGCAUGCCUAACACAUGCAAGUCGAACGGAAACGAUGGGAGCUUGCUCCCAGGCGUCGAGUGGCGGACGGGUGAGUAAUGCUUAGGAAUCUGCCCAUUAGUGGGGGACAACUCGGGGAAACUCGAGCUAAUACCGCAUACGCCCUACGGGGGAAAGCGGAGGACCUUUCGGGGCUUCGCGCUAAUGGAUGAGCCUAAGUCGGAUUAGCUAGUUGGUGAGGUAAAGGCUCACCAAGGCGACGAUCCGUAGCUGGUCUGAGAGGACGAUCAGCCACACUGGGACUGAGACACGGCCCAGACUCCUACGGGAGGCAGCAGUGGGGAAUAUUGCACAAUGGGCGAAAGCCUGAUGCAGCGAUGCCGCGUGUGUGAAGAAAGCCUGCGGGUUGUAAAGCACUUUCAGUGGGGAAGAAAAGCUUAGGGUUAAUACCCCUGAGUCUUGACGUUACCUACAGAAGAAGCUCCGGCUAACUCCGUGCCAGCAGCCGCGGUAAUACGGAGGGAGCGAGCGUUAAUCGGAAUUACUGGGCGUAAAGCGCGCGUAGGCGGCUUUGUCAGUCGGAUGUGAAAGCCCUGGGCUCAACCUGGGAAUUGCAUUCGAUACUGCAGAGCUAGAGUAUGGUAGAGGGAAGUGGAAUUUCCGGUGUAGCGGUGAAAUGCGUAGAU